CCUACGGGGAGCAGCAGUGGGGAAUAUUGGACAAUGGGCGAAAGCCUGAUCCAGCCAUGCCGCGUGUGUGAAGAAGGCCUUCGGGUUGUAAAGCACUUUCAGUGGGGAAGAAAGCCUUGGGGCUAAUACCCUCGAGGAAGGACAUCACCCACAGAAGAAGCACCGGCUAACUCCGUGCCAGCAGCCGCGGUAAUACGGAGGGUGCGAGCGUUAAUCGGAAUUACUGGGCGGAAAGCGCGCGUAGGCGGUCUGAUAAGCCGGUUGUGAAAGCCCCGGGCUCAACCUGGGAACGGCAUCCGGAACUGUCAGGCUAGAGUGCAGGAGAGGAAGGUAGAAUUCCCGGUGUAGCGGUGAAAUGCGUAGAGAUCGGGAGGAAUACCAGUGGCGAAGGCGGCCUUCUGGACUGACACUGACGCUGAGGUGCGAAAGCGUGGGUAGCAAACAGGAUUAGAUACCCCAGUAGUC
rnacentral:rRNA from 1 species